UUACCAAAAGUGCAGAUUCCCGGUCCCAUCUGGGCCGGGAAAUCAGCAUUCCAAACUUUAAACUAGGGGACUCUAGGGGUCUCUCUCUCUCUACCUGAAGAAUUUGGGGGAUUUUGCGAAUGACCUGAAGCCUGAGAGGAAGUGCAACACUGCAGGGCUCUCAGGAGCAGGUACCCUGCUGACGCCUGUGACUAGGCCUAACCGUCUGGGUUCUGCUCUAGACUCCUAGACGGCCUAACCGUCUGGGUUCUGCUCUAGACUCUCACCUGCCCGGAGGUGCGCUUGGGGUCCAGAUUGGCCGAUGAAUAUGUAUAUCCGCAGCGCCUCCUUCACUCCGAAGACUUUCACUUUCCCCCUUGCACAAAACCGAACAUCCCACCCCACCCCCACCUCCAAGCUAAAAUACCUGGGCCGCCCCUCCCCUCGAAGGGAAGCGCUCCAGGCGAAUGGGGAGGGCCCGGAAGUCGGGCCCGGGACAGAGGAGCCGGCCCACCGCCUCCCGGUCGGAAGCGGCAGUGCAGGUGAGGCCGCGGCCAGCCUGGGGACUGCGCGGGUGAGGAGCGGGAGGGCCGGCUGCACCGCGAAGUUGGCGGGGGACGGCCGCGCACGCCUCGCCUCGGCCUUCCUGCCCCGUAGGGGCUGGCCGCCCUCCCGCCACCCCUGGGCACCUGCCGACCACGUCUGGGCGGGGGCGGGCCGGCUCCUGCCCUCCGGCCCUCACCCCACCCCGGCCAGCCGCGGCGGGGACGCCGGGUCAGCGAAGGGUUAAGGGACUUGCUCCCUCCUCUCGGCUCCCUCACCCUUGGAAAGUCCCCGAAAUGACGUUUCAACCCGACAAUUUAAAAAAGAGUUUAAUUAUAGAGACAGGCUCUGGGAGCUGGAACAAACCCUCGGUCGGCGGGGCCGGUAAACAACUCGGGAGCGAGCGGACUAGGCCAGCCGCAGCCUUGCGGAGCCCGCGCCCCUGGGGAGAGGGGGAGGGGAGGGCCGCCGGGAGUUGGAAAAGCCGAGGAAAUUCGAGGAAUCAGCUUUCUUUGGAAAAACCCACUUUGUAGCCAUUCUGGGGCGCCUGAUGGUGCUCCUGGCCGGUCCCGCAGCCUUGGAGGGAAAGCGGCGCCGCCCGAAGCAGGGGCACAGCCGGUGCCCCGCGGGGACAGGCCCUGGGCCGGGAAGGGGCCCCGCCCGCUCCCAGUCCCCUUCCCCUUUGCUUUUUUCCAGCUCCUCCUCUGGUCUCCCAAGCUGAGCUUCGCGAACCCUCGGGAGUUAAAGACCCGCCGGCCCUUUCUUUUUGGGGGGUGGGGGAGCGGGAAUGGGUGGAGGCCGGGGGAAUAAAAAACCGAAAUAGCUUCACAUCAGAACUCAGACUAACCUUGUGGUUUCAACGCGCACCCUGCUCUGUCCUGAAAUCUGGAACUCAUUACCUCAUCACCAAGAAACUGCACGAAAUCUUCCCCCCCGCCCCAACACCCACUUGGGCUGGGAAAAGAACGAGCAAACAUCCCUCUAAGAAAGAAACCUGCACUUGAAUGAUUUAAAUUAAGGUGGAUGGAAGUUAUUUCCCUUUCUGGCGCUUGCCAGAUUUCAAGAAAAGCUGAAAAAUGGGAGCAGGGGGAGGGAAGCAACAGGCGGCUGCAGGGCAGCAGCCGGGUUAAAGUGAGGGCCAUCCAUUUCAGGCAGAGGAGACGAAUGAAAGCCGACCCCGCUGGGAUCACGUAGGUUCGUGGCUGCAGCAAAAGUUGUGUUUCGCAAAGUUGAAAAGCAACCGGUUUCUCGAACAGUUGUGAUUUGGAAGGUUUCGUUGGGUUUGCCCAGAUGUUGACGAAUAAAUAAGAAAUGCAUUAAAAAAAAAAAAAAAGUGUGUGUUGGGGGUGGUGAGAGUGUGACUCGAGCGCUCUCUUCUGCCCGCCCCGUCCUUUCCAAAGAAACGUGCUUAUGAUGGGGUGACCUAAUUACAUCGCAAUGGAACUCAAUCUUAGCCACACCAGCACCGGGUUUCAUAACAGAUUCGGCGGCCUCGAGUGCUGGGAAGAAACGUGCGAGGGCCGGGGGGGGGGGGGGGGGGGGGGGGGGGAAAGGGGAAAAAAGCGCCGCCCCGCGCCUCCCGCCGGGGUCAUCACACCAGCACUCGGGCCAAGGCGCAAGGGGCGGGUGGGGGACACGAUAACUUUUUAUUUGGGUGGGUGGCAUCCAAACCUAACAGGAUAUAUUUUAUCAUUUUCAAGGGAGUCAUGCUCCUUUGCGGGCCCUUCGGUUUCGUGGCUCCCGUGCCCCCCACUCCACCUCCCGCCAAAACGGCGCAGCGUGACAAGCCAUACGUUCCACUGCCAUGGGGGCGAGAGAGAAGUAACAAGUUUAAAGUGCCGCCUCCGUCCACCUCUUUACCUUCAUUCUUACCAAAGUAACCUUUUUUUCAUUGUUCUAGAGUCUUGAGGUGUGUGGGGGAGGAUGGGGGAGGAUGGAGGAGGAGGGAGGGUUGUGGCGCCGCCUAGAAUUCAGAGCGCGCGUGGAAAGUAGUGAGUUGCUCGGUGGGCUUUUUCUGGGAGGAAGGGGCAUUCAGGAAGGAUUAGGGUUUUCUUGACUAAAGUUUAAAGAUUGGAUGCGUGAAAAGAAACGCCACGCCUAGGCCUGGUAAAACAAUCGGCCCUGGUUGUGGUCUUUUUUUGCGACGCCCCCCACCCGCCCACACCCGGAGAGCGCCUGCUGCAAAGCGAGCGCGAGUAUGGACGCGUGCGGCGCGCUAAAUUGUGCCGCGCUCGCCCCCGCCAGGCCGUGUCCUCCUGGGGGAAAAAGUUUCCCUAGUCCCCCCCGCACCGCGCCCCACCCUACGCCCCGCUGAAAAAAAAAA